rnacentral:rRNA from 1 species
GACGAACGCUGGCGGCGUGCCUAAUACAUGCAAGUAGAACGCUGAAGGAGGAGCUUGCUCUUCUGGAUGAGUUGCGAACGGGCGAGUAACGCGUAGGUAACCUGCCUGGUAGCGGGGGAUAACUAUUGGAAACGAUAGCUAAUACCGCAUAAGAGUAGAUGUUGCAUGACAUUUACUUAAAAGUUGCAAUUGCAUCACUACCAGAUGGACCUGCGGUGUUUUAGCUUGUUGGUGGGGUAACGGCUUACCAAGGCGGCGAUGCAUAGCCGACCUGAGAGGGAGGGUGGCCAGCCUGGGAGGGUGACAGGGCACAGACUCCCUGGGGGAGGGGCCAGAGGGGAACUUGGGGCAUGAGCGGAAAGCUGGGCGCACUAGGCCGCAGGCGGGAAGAAGGUUGUCGGGUGGGAAAGGUCUGUUGUAAGGGAAGAACGAGCGUGAGCGUGGGACGAAGCGACUGUGACGGUAACUUACAAAGAAGCACCGGCUAACUACGUG